rnacentral:rRNA from 1 species
CGCAAGCCGGAUCCACCCUUUCCGCGUGGGUGAAGAAGCCCUUCGGGUGGUAAACCCCUUUUGUUGGGAAAGAAAUCCAGCUGGCUAAUCCCCGGUUGGGAUGUCGGUACCCAAAGAAUAAGCACCGAAUAACUUUGUGACAGCAGCCGCGGUAAUACGAAGGGCGCAAGCGUUACUUGGAAUUACUGGGCGUAAAGCGUGCGUAGGUGGUCGUUUAAGUCCGUUGUGAAAGCCCUGGGCUCAACCUGGGAACUGCAGUGGAUUCUGGGCGACUAGAGUGUGGUAGAGGGUUGCGGAAUGCCCGGUGUAGCAGAGAAA